rnacentral:rRNA from 1 species
GGUUAAGCGACUAAGCGUACACGGUGGAUGCCCUGGCAGUCAGAGGCGAUGAAGGGCGUGCUAAUCUGCGAUAAGCGCCGGUAAGGUGAUAUGAACCGUUAUAACCGGCGAUACCCGAAUGGGGAAACCCAGUGUGACUCGUCACACUAUCAUUAACUGAAUCCAUAGGUUAAUGAGGCGAACCGGGGGAACUGAAACAUCUAAGUACCCCGAGGAAAAGAAAUCAACCGAGAUUCCCCCAGUAGCGGCGAGCGAACGGGGAGGAGCCCAGAGCCUGAAUCAGCAUGUGUGUUAGUGGAAGCGUCUGGAAAGGCGCGCGAUACAGGGUGACAGCCCCGUACACAAAAGCGCAUGUGCUGUGAGCUCGAUGAGUAGGGCGGGACACGUGGUAUCCUGUCUGAAUAUGGGGGGACCAUCCUCCAAGGCUAAAUACUCCUGACUGACCGAUAGUGAACCAGUACCGUGAGGGAAAGGCGAAAAGAACCCCGGCGAGGGGAGUGAAAAAGAACCUGAAACCGUGUACGUACAAGCAGUGGGAGCACCCUUUGGGUGUGACUGCGUACCUUUUGUAUAAUGGGUCAGCGACUUAUAUUCUGUAGCAAGGUUAACCGAAUAGGGGAGCCGGAGGGAAACCGAGUCU